GAUGAACGCUAGCGGCAGGCUUAAUACAUGCAAGUCGAGGGGCAGCACAGGUAGCAAUACUGGGUGGCGACCGGCAAACGGGUGCGGAACACGUAUACAACUCACCUUAGAGUGGGGGAUAGCCCAGGGAAACUUGGAUUAAUACCCCAUAAAACAGGGGGCCCGCAUGGGCAUAUUGUUAAAGAUUUAUCGCUUUAAGAUGGGUGUGCGAAUGAUUAGGUAGUUGGUAGGGUAAAGGCCUACCAAGCCGACGAUCAUUAACUGGUGUGAGAGCACGACCAGUCACACGGGCACUGAGACACGGGCCCGACUCCUACGGGAGGCAGCAGUAAGGAAUAUUGGUCAAUGGACGGAAGUCUGAACCAGCCAUGCCGCGUGAAGGAUGAAGGUCCUCUGGAUUGUAAACUUCUUUUAUAGGGGGCGAAAAAGGGCCAUUCUUGGUCAACUGACGGUACCCUAUGAAUAAGCACCGGCUAACUCCGUGCCAGCCGCCGCCGUAAAAC
rnacentral:rRNA from 1 species